rnacentral:rRNA from 1 species
AUUGAACGCUGGCGGCAUGCCUUACACAUGCAAGUCGAACGGUAACAGGUCUUCGGAUGCUGACGAGUGGCGAACGGGUGAGUAAUACAUCGGAACGUGCCCGAGAGUGGGGGAUAACGAGGCGAAAGCUUUGCUAAUACCGCAUACGAUCUCAGGAUGAAAGCAGGGGACCGCAAGGCCUUGCGCUCACGGAGCGGCCGAUGGCAGAUUAGGUAGUUGGUGGGAUAAAAGCUUACCAAGCCGACGAUCUGUAGCUGGUCUGAGAGGACGACCAGCCACACUGGGACUGAGACACGGCCCAGACUCCUACGGGAGGCAGCAGUGGGGAAUUUUGGACAAUGGGCGCAAGCCUGAUCCAGCCAUGCCGCGUGCAGGAUGAAGGCCUUCGGGUUGUAAACUGCUUUUGUACGGAACGAAAAGACUCUGGUUAAUACCUGGGGUCCAUGACGGUACCGUAAGAAUAAGCUCCGGCUAACUCCGUGCCAGCCGCCGCGGUAAGAC